ensembl:miRNA Mir7671 microRNA 7671
AGGCUCCGCUCUGGCUAGCUUCCUGGAAAGGGAGGGAAGCAGGCAGGCGGAGAACCGC